GGGAAUAUUGCACAAUGGGCGCAAGCCUGAUGCAGCCAUGCCGCGUGUGUGAAGAAGGCCUUAGGGUUGUAAAGCACUUUCAGCGAGGAGGAAGGCAUCAUACUUAAUACGUGUGGUGAUUGACGUUACUCGCAGAAGAAGCACCGGCUAACUCCGUGCCAGCAGCCGCGGUAAUACGGAGGGUGCAAGCGUUAAUCGGAAUUACUGGGCGUAAAGCGCACGCAGGCGGUUUGUUAAGUCAGAUGUGAAAUCCCCGCGCUUAACGUGGGAACUGCAUUUGAAACUGGCAAGCUAGAGUCUUGUAGAGGGGGGUAGAAUUCCAGGUGUAGCGGUGAAAUGCGUAGAGAUCUGGAGGAAUACCGGUGGCGAAGGCGGCCCCCCUGGACAAAAGACUGACGCUCAGGUGCG
rnacentral:rRNA from 1 species